UGAACAGAACAAGUGGUGCUCCGUCCUC
rnacentral:piRNA from 1 species